UUUUUUUUGUUGUUGAAAGAUUUCUAACUUUUGCCUAUAAUUAAACUUUUUAAUUUUUUUUAAUGUACAUCAUCCACUCUCUCCUCCCAUUUCUUAAAUAUGUAAAAAAAACACAAACAUAAACUAUAAAUAGGGACGGAGAAAGUAUAAUCUAUAAAUAAACCUUUAUAAAAAUGGGAAGUUGGCUAAUACAUUACCACCCCCAAAAAUAAUGGAAUUUCGAUCCUAAUUGGUUGAUGCUUGGCUGCUCUCUCACCGAAUUCCUUCCCUCUCUCUCUUCUCAACUCAGAAAAAAGGCUCAGAAACAAGGAGAGAGAAACGAUGUCUUCCUGAGUUCCUUCGACACCUUCAGCAACCACCGAUCAACCCUUCGACGAUGGUUAUGGGGCUUCGAUUCUUCUAAACGUUUCAAUUUCUCCAGUUUCGGCUCGCCGUCUUUGAGGUUCCCGUUCGGUCUGAGGUUGUGGUUUGAUUUCCUCCAUUAAAGCAGCUUCUUGAGAUAAGACCUUCAUCCUUUUUAUAAUCAUCUAAUAUCAAUUUUGACAAUCUAGGGUAUAGCUUUAAUUUUCUACAAGUCCACUAAUCCUUUUUUGUGCUAUGUUUUUUUUGGUUAAGCUUCUUAAUUAAUUAAUUUUCUCAAAAUCGAUUGAAAAAUCGAAGUAUUUCUUGAUGAAGGAGUGGUGAUGAAACUCUUAAGGAUUUUUGCCCUUUGAUUUUGACCUAAGAAAGGGAAAAAGUGGAGAGAAGAUGCGAUGAACGGCGGCGGAGGUAAUAGUGGUGGCAAAGUUCCUGGAAUCAAUUUGAUGAAUCUCAUAAACUUGUAAGUAUAGUGGUUGCAAAAUUUGUGAGCGGGAGUUAAGAAUUGGGUGAUUCGAGAUUUGCUUGUCAAGUUAAUGAGCAAUGUGGUGAGUUUUGACUCUGCAUUGGGUGGAAUCGGGUUGUUUAUCGCUCUAGCGUAGGUGAUGCUCAUGGCGUCAGCUUCAUAGAGUUUUGGAAGCCAUGGAUGUUGAUGAGCUUCGGAAACAGUUCGAGGCUACACAAAAAUCUGGUAUUUUUUUUAUCGAAUCCUUUCGAUAUGAAAUAGAUUUUUGUCAAAUGUUAGUAUUUUAAUUGUUUCUGGGUCAUUGUAAAAUGUCAGAUUUCACUCUAAAUUAUCUUUAUUUUGCUCAAAGAUUACUGGGUUUUGCAUAUGAUUUUACUUUGUUGGAACAUAUAAAGGUUGGUUUUUGAGGUGAAAAGUAUGAUUUUGAUUGUUUGAUCCGUGUGUCAUUGGGUGAAUUGUUUGAUUUCCAUAAAUUGAUUUGCUGAAAUGUCUGAAAUUUAGCCUAACUACAUAAUGCACUUGAUUGAAAUGCUUAUUGCAGGCUGUUUUCUGAAGUGUAAAAAUGAUUGUGAAUUGUUUUGUUAUUAGUUAUUGAAGAGAGUAAAUAUUCGGAAUUGAUGUUGAUACUGUACAGAAUGCUGAAUUAGGGAAGGUAAUUACUUCUUAUUUAAUGCUUUGACUGUCCAUGAAACAAAACUCAAAGUGAGUACCCUUGAUUGCUUGGUAUCGUAAAAUCAAGCUAAUAGCUAUUGACCUAUUGCAGAUACAAGUAUAUGAUGGCGAGGAUCUUGUUGGAUCAUCCUUGUCAUUUUCUAUUGAAAUUAUUCACGAUAAGUUCGUUUGAUUAUAUGUCGUCUCAACUGCUAUAUACUAUACUUUGCUCUGUUAAAAUUGUGAUACAUCUAUAUUUUUCCCUAUUUCAUGUCAUAAUAUCCUUACAGUAAAGACCAUUCGAUUACGAAAUUGGUUUCUAUGUUACAAACUUAGAAGUGUAGUGUUUCAUACUUUACUUUCUUACAAUUAAUGUUAUUUGUUCAUGCAGUUAAUGUUUGGGGAUAAUUUUGACAGCAUUAUGCUUUUAUUGAGUUUGUUGGAUAUUCUGCAUUAUUUGGGAAUUGGGAAGCGUAUGUUUAUAUUUUUGGUGGGUUGUGUGAUCAUUUUCUGAUAAAUCUUAAGGGUGGGGAUUUAUUAAUUUAACUGAGUAGGCCAUACUGCCAUACACCUAUUGUUGUUGUUAACUCUCAAAUGUACCUUGAAGAUGGAAUUAAAGCUUACACAAUUGCACACUUUUGCUGGAAGUGUUAUUGUGUUAGCCUUUAUAGAUUGAGUUCUUUUGUCUAUCAUAGUGCACUUAUGUUGACGUCAUUAACCUGAACUAGACACUGGAUAGUUUGGAACUUUCUGCUCACUUGUCCAAGCCUCCAGAUAAUUCAUAGCACUGGUUUCUGCCGAAAUAUAUGAAUUCCUAUUUGAUGUAGUGCCCUAGGAGAUAUGAGCAGAGAGACUUAGUGCUUUUAAGAGUCCAUUUUGUUUCCCUUUUCUGCUUAUUUAAUCUUUACUUGAUUUUAUUAAUACUUAAUCCUUUAAUUUAACUUCAAAAAAGUUUUAGUAGAUUCUAAAAUCAAUUGUGCUUUUAUUUAAUCACGAGCCAUCCUAUUUUAAUCUGCAUAUUAGAAGGAAUGCAAGAGUAAAGGUCGAUUAGGUGCAGCAUAUUGUUUAAUCUUAUUUUACUGUGCUUACUUCAAACAGUGAAUGUGGAUCAUUUGAUGGAGCCAUUACCAUAGGAAACACUAACAUCCAUAUUUAGUUUAUUUUAAUGUUGAUAUGAGAUUCAUUUUGUUAGGGACAUCCAAAUCAUAAUAUCCUGUAUAUAGUGUCUUCCAUUUUAAUGAGAUUAAGUGAUCAAUUGUUUCCAAAAUGCUUUCAAUAUUAUACGCAGUCUAGCUUGAUGUCCUCUGCAUCCUUUGGUAAAUUGCUUUUUAUGUGUUUGUGAUUUGUGUCUGUUUCUUGUAAUUUUGCAGGUUGUUAAUAUAUUUUUGUUUUAAAUUUGCUAUGGCGGGUUGAAUUGAUUUUUUGCUGAUGCCCUCUUCAGAUCCAACUACAGUCAGUGUUGGUAUUAUCGGACUCUUGGGAAGCAAGGGUUUCUCUUGGUUAUCUCUUACUCCUUAAAUUUGCUUUGGGUUUUGUAUUCUAAUGCUUAUCUUUCUAUCAAUUGCGUGCAUUUUUGUAUUAGCCAUUUUACUUCAUAUGAUUGAUUUGUCCUAGAAAAAAACUAUGUUUGUACUCAGCAGCUUCAUUAGAAUUUGAACUUUUAAUCUAACAAUUGUUAGGUUUUAUAUAUGCUCAAGCUUUGUUAUGACAUACAUUGCCAUUUCUUUUAGAAAUUGUCUAUUUGCCAAACCAAUUAGGUAACUAAUAAGGAUAGAAAUAGUUGCCUUAGUGAACAAUUAGUACAACUUAUUCUUUUUAUUGAUUGUUGGGCAGCAGAAUUGCAGAUUAAAGAGGUAAUACUAAUAAAUACAGCUUAUUGGUAGAUGGUGUCCUGAAUAACCGAUUAUCGGCUAAUGACUGAAAUGUAUGGUAUGUUUUAUUUUUUUAAUUACCUGAAUGCAAUUUUUGAUGAAAUGUAAGGUGUGCUACAAUUUUACGUCAGGAAACAUUGUUGUAGAGAUGUCCAGAGCUGGAAAGCAUCCAAGGAACAAGCAAUAGACAGUGCUAUUCUAGAUCAGAUUUGUAAGAUGUUUUCUAUUUAAGCUCCCUUGCCAGAUUAUCUAGAAUAUCAUAAUGAGUCCUUGAAGAACUCAUAAUUGUACCUCAAAAAAUAUUGUUGAUCUUACAUUAGUGUGUCACAGUUUAUGAAUCUAAAUCUUUUGCUAACUA